UACAAACGCCUAGUGUUACUGUACAUGAAAAGGCAGGACUUCGAUCAGUUAGGUAGCUAACGUUACACUGCUUAGUCCAGUUUAGAAUGACUUUUGCCAACAUCGAAAUAACUUGGUCAAAAUGUAUUAUCCACCUAACUCGUUCCUGAACUGGGGCAAACCAGAAAUAUUCUGCACUACUUUUAAUAAUGGUGUCUGUUUACAACGUGUGUUGGAGAAAAGAAGAGGAGGAGAUCGGAGAGAAGAAUAGUGGCGGAACGGUCACUCUCUCCUGCAGGGCAUGUAGGAUUGAGAUGGAUGAGAUGAACUACCCUGUUUGAAAUGAUCUUGUGAGGACACUGAGACAGAAGCAAGACUUCUUAGUUAGAUCCCACCGGCUCAGCCUGUCUCGUACUGUACCUUGGCAGGUGGGAACACAAUAAUUUAGUUUGAACUAUAGUAUGUAUUGCUGUAUGUACAUUUCACUUUUCAGGCAUUAUAAAAAAGAUCAUGCCUGGGUAUCACAAGGAUAUGAUAUCAUUAAUUGACAAGUGCAUUUUGGUUUAGAAAAACAUUUGAUUGAAAGGAUCCACUCAGAGGACCCCAAAGCAUUGAAAUCAAAUACCUAAAUUCUAUAUUUUUUAAACACUUUUUUUAAUGUAUUCCCUGGUUUACGGUACUAUUGCCUUUAUCCUAUAUGUAAUAUGAUGGACUGUAUAUAUCCUUUCCAUACAUAGACCAAAAUCCCCAAAAUGUACCAUGCCAGCUUUUUCAUAGAUCUGAAAGGGAUAGGGUGUAAAAAAACAUGGUCAAUUAAAAUCCACCUAAAGACCUAGUUAUGGGGUGGCAGGUAGCCUAGUGGUUAGAGCGUUGGGCCAGUAACCGAAAGGUUGCUAGAUCGAAUCCCCGAGCUGACAAGGUAAAAAUCUGUCAGUCUGCCCCUGAACAAGGCAGUUCCUAGGCUGUCAUUGUAAAUAGGAAUUUGUUCUUAACUGACCUGCCUAGUUAAAUAAGACAGACCCUGUAACCGAAAUACAGGUAUUGGGUAUGUGUGAAUGGUUCCCUGCUUUUUUGUAAGUAAAUUCAUCAACACUUCUAUUGUUUAACACCUCCCUAAUUUGAAAUGCAAACAGCCCCCAUGGUUUAAGAACAUCCCCCGACCCUCCCAAUUUGCCAGUUACCCACUGAUAUGUAUAAUACAGUGGAGGCUGCUGAGGGGAGGACAGCUCAUAAUAAUGGCUGGAAGGGAGUGAGUGGCAUCAAACACAUGGAAACCACGUGUUUGAUGUAUUUGACACCAUUCCACUAAUUCCGCUUCUGCCAUUACCACAAGCCCGUCCUCCCCAAUUAAGGUGCCACCAACCUCCUGUGGUAUAAUAGCGGUAUACCUGCAAAUAAGUGAUAAAUAAGGGGCUGUUUGAAAGGGGGUCAUAUAAACAUUGCCUUAUAUUUUUUACAGGUUGGUGUUUUUUUGUUAUUUCCUGUGUGAUCGUGUCAUGUGGCUCUUCAUAACUUGUCCUUUCCUGACACUCAGGGGACCCCGUCAAUUAGCUGUAUUCUGUUUAUAUUUCCUCCCGCUAGAACACCUGGCAAACAAUUACUCUACUGUUAAAGCAGGAGGGAGUUUUUGGACAAAGCACCUCAUAGCACCCAAGUGAUGACAUGGAUCUGUUAAAUGGCUCUAAAGCUGUUUUUGUGUUAUAAAGAGAGCCUCUUUGCAGACUUUUGUCUUUGAAAGGCAUUGCCUGAGGCUCAAAUACUACGAGGCUGCCUGUUAAUGACUUCUCAAGAGAGAGAGGGGAAUAGCUGGAGACAGGAGAUCAUGCUAAGCUCUGCUGGGUUUUCCUAAUUGCAGUUGUGAUUCCUCGGUUGUUGAGGGCGAUUUGUUGAAGUUUAGUCCUUGAUAUCUCAAAAUGGUUCUGUACCUUUCACAUGACAACAAUAAAUGAUUUGAAACUAAGAAUGUUGUCUGACUUGAGUUUUUUGUUUUAUAUGGACAAAUAUAAAUGUUUUAAAUAAUUGGAAGAAGCAUAAAUUCCCCCUGAAGUGCCAAAAGG